rnacentral:lncRNA from 1 species
UACAUUCCUCUUGAUCCCCAUGGAGUUCCUUCUCAUGGUGAUGAAACGAACUUCCAUGGCUACUCGCCUUAUCAGCACCAUUACCAUUAACAUUCUUAUUCUUCUUAGCCACCCCAAGGUGUACAAGGACCUUAUCAGAGUCAUUCUCAUUCGACUUAUCAUGGAUCGUGAGCAGAAUCCCCCCAUCCCUCGGCGCAAACUCGUCCGUGGAAACCUGCUCAAUUUGCAACACCUCUUUGAUCUCCUUGGACACGGCUGGGAUUUGAGAGACCGGGAGCUGAACCUGCUGCUGCUGCUGCCGGUGUUGGCUUCGUCUGUUGCUGGAC